GCGCCUCUAGCUCAAUGGCAGAGCAACGGACUCUUAAUCCGCAGGUUCUGGGUUCGAAUCCCAGGGGGCGCACCU
rnacentral:tRNA from 1 species